UACAGAGGACGCGAGCGUUAAUGGGAAUUACUGGGCGUAAAGCGUGCGUAGACGGUCGUGCAAGUCGGGUGUGAAAGCCCCAGGCUCAACCUGGGAAUUGAAUUCGAGACUGCCCGGCUAGGGUGCGGAAGAGGGAAGCGGAAUUUCCGGUGUAGCGGUGAAAUGCGUAGAUAUCGGAAGGAACACCAGUGGCGAAAGCGGCUUCCUGGUCCGACACCGACGUUCAGGCACGAAAGCGUGGGGAGCAAACAGG
rnacentral:rRNA from 1 species